AAUAAACACGGAAUGAGAAUCCUCAAAAUUAAGAUAUUAAAUUAAACUGUGUGUUUUGCACUAUCCAAAUCAAAAUGCUAACAUUAGCUUUUCUAAGAUUUUUACCAAAUGAUACUAAAGUACAUCUCUAUGCAGAAUAAUAUGCAAAGAUAGCCCAAAAAUUCUGAAAUAGAAAAAUAAUGAAAGGGGGACAUGCCCCCCUCCAAACAUUAAAGACAUGCACAAGAAUGUUCGUAGUAGCAUUAUUGAUAAUAGCCAAAAAUCAUAUAAAAUCCAAAUGCCUAUCAACAGUAGAAUGGAUUAAUUACUGCAUGUUCAUAAACUGAUCUACUGUACAAUAAAGGAUGAACUCCUGCUACACCCAAAAAUGUGGGUGAAUCCAAUAGGUAAAAAUAUGAGUGAAAAGCCAGUCAUCAAAGAGUACUUACUGUAUGAUCUACUUAUAUAUAAGAUUUAAAGAAAGGUAAAACAAAUCGAGUGUGAUAGAAAUCGGAAGAGAGGUCACCUUUUAGGAAAGCAAGGACUGGUAGAAGGCACAAGAGAUGCUUCUGGUAUGAUGUUGGCCCAGAGCAAGAGAAAUGGGAUUGCCCUGUGAGGGCAGAAUAUUCUAGUUUAAUCCUGUCAGCAGGUGGAGUUGCUGUGCCUGUGCUCCAUGUUUGAUACCUGAAGAGUCAACACCUCAAGGGGAAUAGGAGGAACUCUGGUGGUAACACAGACCUGACCAGCAUAGGUCAGCAUCCCUGGAGAAUAGCAGGGACACCCCAGGGAAGAGGGGUUCACAGUCCUCAGUCUACAAAUGAAGAAACUGAGGCUCUGAAAGAUCACUCAGGGUCUUGCUGUUUAGAAGAGCUGGAAAUGACUCAGUUACUUCAUAACUGUGGGACCUGGGGCUGGUGCCUUCAUCUUGAACCCCUCGAAGACACCCGGCCAUUGAGAGAGAUCCCAGGCUUACAGCCACAGGCCUGAAAGGGCUCUAAUACCCCUCCACCCCCUCUCCCAUGUUCCAAAUCGCAACAUUCAUAUUUUACACAUGAGGAAACUGAGGUCGGAGGCAAGGCCGGGUUAGGAAUGCAGGCUCCUGGUUAAGAAUCUCUCAUUCUGAAGCGGAAGCUGCUCGCGGAUCAGGGCGGACAGUCCCUUUUCUCCGAUUCUACAUAAGAAACAGAUGCCCAGAGGAGAGACUAAUCCAAGGCCAUGAUGCGAAAAACAAAUCUAGAGGCUACCAGACUCUAGUGCUGCUGGAGGCUGGGCGCCCGCCUCCCUCGACGCGCCUCCUUUCGGCGCUGUGCUAGGGGUCCCGUCGGGAGGAGGGCGAAUCCGGUCUCCGGUUUCCAGGCACAGCGGAUGUAGCAGCCUCUGCCCUGGGGGAAUCUCAUCCAGUAGAGCGGAUUGGGGGAGGACCACGUGGGCGCUUCGGGUGCAGCCAGUUUGCAAUCACCACGGAAACCCCCUUCCCUGACCCCCAGGGACCAUGGCUCUCCCUCCUUCCCACGCAUGGGCGGGGAGAAGAAAUGUCGACCAAUGAGAUAGCGGGAAUCCCGUGACGUCGACGGUACCUGGGCCGGAGUGGAGGAGUUGGAGGUGAGCGGAGCCGGACGCCGGGGUAGCUAGUCAGGGGUUGCGAAGAAUGGUGCCGGGGUAGGAGUAACAGCGUCUGAGAGACGCAGCUUGCUCUCCUCCUGGGUGUCCCACAGGCAUCUCCUCUCGUGUGGUCCCCCAAUUCACCUCUUCUUUACCCCCAGAUGCUCCGCCUUCUGAAUUCAGUGUUCAGUGCCGGCACCACCGUCUGUUCCAGGAGUGGUGGCCGUGGGGUGGGGCAGGGUGGAGGAGAGGGCCUCG